rnacentral:rRNA from 1 species
GACGUAGGGCGCGAGCGUUGUCCGGAUUUAUUGGGCGUAAAGAGCUCGUAGGCGGCUUGUCGCGUCGUCCGUGAAAACUCACAGCUCAACUGUGAGCUUGCGGUCGAUACGGGCAGACUAGAGUGCGGUAGGGGAGACUGGAAUUCCUGGUGUAGCGGUGAAAUGCGCAGAUAUCAGGAGGAACACCGGUGGCGAAGGCGGGUCUCUGGGCCGUAACUGACGCUGAGGAGCGAAAGCAUGGGGAGCGAACAGG